CUUGUGGGUAGAGCGAAGAGGUAGAUAAAAAUAAUUGUGUCUGGACCUCCUCUCCCUACUACGGGUGUCCUUUAUCCAAAGUAUCCCUUAAACCUCUUUCCAACCCACUGACAUGAUUUCCUUACUUUUCUUCUCUUCAUCCUGCUAGCUUCCAUAAAGGCAUCGCCAGAGCUGUAUUCGACUACCUAAAUCUCUCCGAUUGUAGCGGGUGAACUUUCCUGAGAAAAUCUCACAGCAAGUAAUUCAACUACUUCCAAGUAUGAACUUCCCGCUUCAAGAAGAUGUUAACAUCAGCUGUCUUUUUUAUCAUUUGCAGGAAUAUCACCGUGGUGUGCUGCUGUCUGCCAAUCGUACCAAAAGCGUAGCAUGGAAUUUAACUCAGCUGUAAAUUCUGCCCCACGUCGGCCACGUCAGGCUCCUUGAACAGUUUCGUCCCUUAAGGUAUAUCACCAUGGUGUGCUGGUGUCUGCCAAUCGUACCAAAAGCGUAGCAUGGGAUUUAAAGCAGCUGUACCCUGCCCCACGUCAGGCUCCUUGAACACUUUUGUCCCUUGAGAUGGAGGGAGAGUACUAGUUGCCGACAUGGACCUGCUCUGUGUCGCCGUCACAGGAACAGUACAAGCUGUGCAGACCGACUCGCCACUCUGAACGACUUUGGAAAGCGAAGAAUUGGCACAUGCUCUGUAUAUUUCUAAUCUUUUUUUGUAUUAAACUCCGUUUACAAAA